AUUACGGUCACCGACUUCAGGUACCCCAGACUUCCAUGGCUUGACGGGCGGUGUGUACAAGGCCCGGGAACGUAUUCACCGCGCCAUGGCUGAUGCGCGAUUACUAGCGAUUCCAGCUUCAUAGAGUCGAGUUGCAGACUCCAAUCCGAACUGAGACCGGCUUUCGAGAUUCGCAUCCUGUCACCAGGUAGCUGCCCUCUGUACCGGCCAUUGUAUUACGUGUGUGGCCCAAGACGUAAGGGCCGUGAUGAUUUGACGUCAUCCCCACCUUCCUCUCUACUUGCGUAGGCAGUCCCAACAGAGUCCCCAACUGAAUGAUGGCAACUGUUGGCAGGGGUUGCGCUCGUUGCAGGACUUAACCUAACACCUCACGGCACGAGCUGACGACAACCAUGCAGCACCUUGAAAAUUGCCCGAAGGAGGAUCUAUUUCUAAAUCUGUCAAUUCCCAUUUAAGUCUUGGUAAGGUUCCUCGCGUAUCAUCGAAUUAAACCACAUAAUCCACCGCUUGUGCGGGCCCCCGUCAAUUCCUUUGAGUUUCAUCCUUGCGGACGUACUCCCCAGGUGGCUAACUUAUCACUUUCGCUUGGUCUCUGAACCCGAAGAUCCAAAAACGAGUUAGCAUCGUUUACGGCGUGGACUACCAGGGUAUCUAAUCCUGUUCGCUCCCCACGCUUUCGUCCAUCAGCGUCAGUUAAAUCUUAGUGACCUGCCUUCGCAAUCGGUGUUCUAAGUAAUAUCUAUGCAUUUCACCGCUACACUACUUAUUCCAGCCACUUCAAAUUUACUCAAGGCCUGCAGUAUCAAUGGCAGUUUCAUAGUUAAGCUAUGAGAUUUCACCACUGACUUACAGGCCCGCCUACGGACCCUUUAAACCCAAUAAAUCCGGAUAACGCUCGCACCCUCCGUAUUACCGCGGCUGCUGGCACGGAGUUAGCCGGUGCUUAUUCGUACAGUACCUUCAGCUGCCCUCACGAGGGCAGGUUUAUCCCUGUACAAAAGAAGUUUACAAUCCAUAGAACCGUCAUCCUUCACGCGGGAUGGCUGGAUCAGGCUUCCACCCAUUGUCCAAUAUUCCUCACUGCUGCCUCCCGUAGGAGUCUGGUCCGUGUCUCAGUACCAGUGUGGGGGAUCUCCCUCUCAGGACCCCUAAAGAUCAUCGACUUGGUGGGCCGUUACCCCGCCAACUAUCUAAUCUUGCGCGUGCCCAUCUCUAUCCGCCGAGGCUUUCAAUGGCGACCGAUGCCGGACACCAUAUUAUGGGGUAUUAAUCUUCCUUUCGAAAGGCUAUCCCCCAGAUAAAGGCAGGUUGCACACGUGUUACGCACCCGUACGCCGCUCUCUGGAUAGCAAGCUAUCCAUACCGCUCGGCU
rnacentral:rRNA from 1 species